rnacentral:rRNA from 1 species
GACGAACGCUGGCGGCGUGCCUAAUACAUGCAAGUUGAGCGCUGAAGGUUGGUACUUGUACCAACUGGAUGAGCAGCGAACGGGUGAGUAACGCGUGGGGAAUCUGCCUUUGAGCGGGGGACAACAUUUGGAAACGAAUGCUAAUACCGCAUAAAAACUUUAAACACAAGUUUUAAGUUUGAAAGAUGCAAUUGCAUCACUCAAAGAUGAUCCCGCAUUGUAUUAGCUAGUUGGUGAGGUAAAGGCUCACCAAGGCGAUGAUACAUAGCCGACCUGAGAGGGUGAUCGGCCACAUUGGGACUGAGACACGGCCCAAACUCCUACGGGAGGCAGCAGUAGGGAAUCUUCGGCAAUGGACGAAAGUCUGACCGAGCAACGCCGCGUGAGUGAAGAAGGUUUUCGGAUCGUAAAACUCUGUUGGUAGAGAAGAACGUUGGUGAGAGUGGAAAGCUCAUCAAGUGACGGUAACUACCCAGAAAGGGACGGCUAACUACGUG